CUUCCUGAAAACGCAUCAGCACUCACCCAACAUGGGCUGGAAGAUACCAGCCGUGGGCUCCCUCUCCUCUCUGUGGGACGUGGUAGCUCUGCAGCAGGCUUUGUGGUGUUUCCAGAAGGCUCCAGAAAUCAGAAAUCUGUCACCAGCUUUGGCCAGUAAGACCCUGUACUUGAAAUGGAAAAGGCUACGCUGAGCCCCACCGCUCACCACCUUCUCAGCAGUGCCAGGACAACCACAGGCAGUAAUCUGUCUCAGUGGAAGGCUGAGGCUGAAAAUUAAUCUGCAUACAAAAAGGAACUGGCUAAGAGCUGCAGUGGGUUAAGAAACAAUCCAAGCUCCCAGAUCACUGAAAGACUUUUCUGGCCAACCAAGGGUGAAGUCCUACAGGUAAUACCGGGACCGUGCUAAGGCAACCGUUUCAGACCAGCCUGAAAAGGCAUUCCUCAUGACCUUUAAGUGCAUAUUUUCCAUUGGCUUUGUUCAGAUUGGUGCUGCCAGUUUGUGGUGAAACAGGAAAGAGAGCCUUCUUCCAAAAAUGUUGUGAACUUUCUAAAAGAAGUGGAACCUGGUAGCUUUCACAGCUCUCGCUACCACACAGAGUUGCCUUGGGAAGAGUGAAGGUAUGAAUUGGAGAAAGAUGGAACACAUGGAAAAAAAAGAGCAGAGUGGCUGAAAUACCAAAAAAAAAAAAAAGCAUCUAUGCACGUGUAGACCUUUGACUCUGAAAUUUUAAUCUAACUUUCUCCUUCUGAAAGUCAUGAAAUGAGCUUAGGGUACUUGCUGGGGUGGGCUCUGUGAAUUUUUCACUGGAUCUGCCUCUGUCUCUGUAAAUGGAGAAGACAACCAGCUUAAACCAACUGCCCAGUUCAAAGUUGAGAUGAAUCCCUCUUUUUCAUGAAAUCAUGACAUUUUCCUUUCUCUUUAGGAGGGACAUUACAGGAAAGUAAUACUUGUGCUCUGGAAUGACCUCAACUAAGACCCGAUUCAACCCAAAUAUCACAACAGGUUUGGGUCCCAUCUUUCUCAAAGUGAGUAAUGUCUUACAAUACCUCAUCUGUGAGCCAGGAAGCUGAACCAGUAUCUGUUUUCAGUCAGUUCUAGUUCAGGUUCAGCUGUGGAUGGAGUUGUUCCUGUUCGGUUCUUGUUAAACCCAUCAAAACUUUCAGAAAGCAGUUUAGAUUCAAUAUAAGAAAAAAAGUCCUGAAUGAUUUAGACCAAAUUCAGUUCAACAUUCUGUAUUAACAGAAUCUGGAAAGAAGCUGAUCUCCAGCUGGGACCAUAAACACAUACUGAAAUAAAGAGAUUUACUUCUUUCAUUUAUCAUUUAGAAAAGAAUGGGAGCUACACUUGUCCUUGCACGAUUUUACUGGCGCUCGUACAUUGUAUAAUGUAUGCCUGCCAUCCUGACAGAGAUCCAUUCCAGAAAAUAAUCCAUGACCAUUAUGGAUGUGAAUUGCAUUCCUUUUAAAUAAUGAGAAGAGACUGGAGAAAAUCUGAACUACUUUAAGAGAUGACCAAGAGACACUUUUCAAUAGAAUGGAUUUUAUUCUCCUAAUAAGGAGAAGUCAUGUUGUACAAUAACUGUAUCAUCUCAUUCCCUCAGUAAAGUUUAUGAAGAAAAGACUGACACAUUUUUUCUUACUGCUUAUAUAUUAUGCUGAUGCACGUCAGUAGGUAUUAAUUUAGUAAGCUGCUACUUUUGUGCAAAAAUGGAUUGGUAUGAAUAGAGCAAAAACCACCUUAGAGUGAUGUUUUUAGGACUGAUUUGCCCUGGCCUUGCUCUAGUGAUCAGAUGUGGUAUUCAGAUUAAAACAAGAAAAGAGAGCCAGGACAAGGUUUCCAGCUGUUAUUAAUGAAGCAUUUCUGCUUAAUCCCCAUGGAAGGCACAAAAUCAACAUUGUCAUGGUUCUGCU